UACAGAGGUCUCAAGCGUUGUUCGGAUUCAUUGGGCGUAAAGGGUGCGUAGGCGGCGCGGUAAGUCGGGUGUGAAAUCUCGGGAGCUUAACUCCGAAACUGCAUUCGAUACUGCCGUGCUUGAGGACUGGAGAGGAGACUGGAAUUUACGGUGUAGCGGUGAAAUGCGUAGAUAUCGUAAGGAAGACCAGUGGCGAAGGCGACUACCUGGCCUGUUCUUGACGCUGAGGCGCGAAAGCUAGGGGAGCAAACGGG
rnacentral:rRNA from 1 species